UACGGGGGGCGCAAGCGUUGUUCGGAUUUACUGGGCGUAAAGGGCGCGUAGGCGGCACCGCAAGUCGACUGUGAAAUCUCCGGGCUUAACUCGGAAAGGUCAGCCGAUACUGCGGGGCUAGAGUGCAGAAGGGGCAACUGGAAUUCUCGGUGUAGCGGUGAAAUGCGUAGAUAUCGAGAGGAACACCUGCGGCGAAGGCGGGUUGCUGGGCUGACACUGACGCUGAUGCGCGAAAGCGUGGGGAGCAAACAGG
rnacentral:rRNA from 1 species